UACGGAGGGUGCAAGCGUUGUCCGGAUUCAUUGGGUUUAAAGGGUGCGCAGGCGGGCCAUUAAGUCAGGGGUGAAAGACGGUUGCUCAACAAUCGCAGUGCCUUUGAUACUGGUGGUCUUGGGUGACCUUGAGGUAGGCGGAAUGGGUGGUGUAGCGGUGAAAUGCUUAGAUAUGACACAGAACACCGAUUGCGAAGGCAGCUUACUAAGUCAUAACUGACGCUGAUGCACGAAAGCGUGGGGAGCAAACAGG
rnacentral:rRNA from 1 species